rnacentral:rRNA from 1 species
AUGGAGAGUUUGAUCCUGGCUCAGGAUGAACGCUGGCGGUAUGCUUAACACAUGCAAGUCGAACGAGAGGUUUUUAAAGAUUUUUCUUAAAAAACUGAAAGUGGCGGACGGGUGAGUAACACGUGAGAAUCUGCCUUUAGGAAAGGGACAACAUUUGGAAACGAAUGCUAAUACCGCAUACGCCCUUUUGGGGAAAGGCUUCGGCCGCUCUUGGAUGAUCCCGCGUCUGAUUAGCUUGUUGGU